rnacentral:lncRNA from 1 species
CUGAAAACCUAGUUAGUUAAUACCACCGACAUAUUUUCUCUUCUGAAAACCUAACAGGUGUUUGGUAGAUUUUCUUCAUCUGUUACAAAUCAGUCUUGAUUCCAACUGGACACCUUCCAUUCAAUAGAUGGACACUUUUAUACUUGUAGAUAUCCUGCACCUGUUCAAACAAUAUCCGCUCCAAAUCUCUCCUCUUAGUUGAUGCUGGCUGUUCUGUUCUUGACACCUGGCCCAUUUGAUCCACAUCAUUGUCCCUAU